rnacentral:rRNA from 1 species
UACGGAGGGUGCGAGCGUUGUUCGGAAUCACUGGGCGUAAAGCGCGUGUAGGCGGUCUGCUAAGUCUGAUGUGAAAGCCCGGGGCUCACCCCCGGAAGGGCAUUGGAAACUGACGGACUGGAGUCCCGGAGAGGAGGGUGGAAUUCCUGGUGUAGCGGUGAAAUGCGUAGAUAUCAGGAGGAACACCGGUGGCGAAGGUGGUCCUCGGGACGGUGACUGACUUUGAGACGCGAAAGCGUGGGGAGCAAACAGG